CAUCUUGUGCCGUCCCGUCCCGUCUCGUCCCGUCUCAUCCCGUCCCGUCUCGUCUCAUCUUGUCUCACGUAGUCUCACAUUGUCUCACGUCGUCUCAUAUCGUCUCACGUCGUCUCGUGGUAGCGUGGCGUAGCGCGUGUGCGUAUUCGAAUAGUUUAGUGUAUGCGUUUUGCGUGGCGUUGUCGAACCAUAGUGAAGCCGGUACGCGACGUAUAUACAUGUGAUGCACACAUUCUCCCACUUUGAACCGUAGCGAUCCUUCAGCUUGCCUUCUGUAGAACCGUACGAUUAGAUGGAAAACAAUAUUUCGCGUAACAUCAUCAUGGACCAUUGUAUGUCACGCAACGAUGCAGACUUAACGUGGCUUACGAUCGAUUACGAUCACAAUAGACGCGACCUCGUCUUUACGUCUUUCUAUCUUCAUCUUUAUUUGAAAGUUCACUAGGUCAUCUUUGCAAAUAGGAAUCGAUCAGUAUUUAAUAUUUGAUACGCAUUUUAUAAAUUAUUUGCGUCUCAUCAUCAUUUCAAUAAUUAAUUAAAAAAAUUCUAUUUAGCACAAUAGAAACAUUACUAGAAUUCAAUUAUCGUUGUAUGAAUUUUGAAUAAUGAUAUCACAUUGGACUUGAUGUUAUAUGCUGCUGCUAUAAACUUUGAAAAAAAUGGAAAUGAAUUAUUGGAUUCACAUUAAGAUAAGAAAGUUAAAAACAGAUUUAUUAAGAAAAA